rnacentral:lncRNA from 1 species
CACAUGGAAGUGCUCUCUGAGAGUAACCUCGGGAGGGGCGAGGAUGGGCUGGCGUCCCUGAGGACUGCGGCCGCCCCUGGAGCAGAGGACGUAACCGCGAAGGCCUUCCGUGGUCGCAACCCUUCCACUGAGAGACACGAAGCCUACUAGUGGAGCCCCGGGGCGCUCCUGACCCCGCCGCGGGGCGAGGGCUGUGACUCGGCUGUUGGGAGUUUCAGGAUCCCUUUGAAGCUCCAAACUUGAGACUUCCUACCACCUCUUCAACUAUCGCGGGAGAAAGUGAAGUUAGGGCGGGAGUCUUUCGAUGAGCAGAAGUGAAGGGUCGAACGGGCUUCCAGAAGCCGUCAAGGAUAACUUUUUGAAAUACGGGCAAGUGUCGAUAGCUUUGAAGAUUUGGGGGGAGGGGGGAAUCUAUGUACAAAUACAGCUUAAAACACAGAAAGAAGUGAGCUUUAAAGGAAAAUAUUCACUCUCACUACCCCUGUCCAGGAAGAAAAGUGCUGAUCUGCAGCUUCCAAUCCGCUAAACUGGAGAGUAGAGGCUGCCUGAUCCAAGCCCAGCCAGUGUUGGUCUCCCCAAGCAUUCCUACCUUGGUACGAUCUCAGCUACGGUUUUUAAAAAACAAAAAAAUAAAAAGGAAAAAAAUACUGAGAGGAAAUACACCAAAUUUUUCAUUGUGGUUAACUACAGUAGUAGGUUAUAUGAGAUUUUCAUGUUCUGCUUUGGACUUUUGUCUGCUUUCUACAACUUUUCCAAAAUAUUUACAAAAGUAUAGAUUGCCAUCAUAACCAGACAAAAAAAAAACUUUGACAUUUAAAUGGCAUAUACAAUAUAUUCUCAAUUAUAUAAACAUGCAUAGAAAAGGAAGGAAAUAUGAAGAACUGUUAACUAUGUUAUUCUUGACAACUAAGAUAUGGUCCCCUGUUCUGCUUUGAGCUUUUUUGAUAUAUUCCACCUGAUAAACAAUUUUGAAAUAAAUUAAGUCACUGUGUUCAAAAGUCAUAAGUCAUGAGGUUCCAAAAUGAGAUCAUGAAUUCAAAAGUCUUUAGGAACUAUAAAGCAAAAGUAAUACAUUAGCGUUGUCAUGAAGACAUGAGUUUACAAUAUUUCUUACUGUAAAUUAGCAAAUGAGUUUUGGGUGUAUUAUCAGUUUCUCAGUACAUGAAUCUUUCUCUAAUAGCAAAGGCAACUUCCAGAUAAGCUGAUUAAGAUUCUGGAACUACAAGUCGAACUAGUCCCUGGAGCAGAAGUAAAAUUCCAAACCUACGGUCCCAUCCAGCCUGUCCACAAAAUUACUAUAUUGAUGAUAGCAGCAGAUACUCAUGAGAGGUAUGACUUGUGUUUCCUCCAUACCUAAAUAAAAAAGAGAAAGGACCAUUCUGGUUUCUCUGGAGAUUAAAUAGCAAAAGGAGGGCUUGAUUUGAUUAAUAAAUCUAGAUAUCCUAUGGAUUUUGUAGUGAUAUGCUUUGACAUUUAUAUCUAAGUAGUUCAUUUUUGCGAAAAAUCAAUAAAAUGGUUUUUCAAGCAGA